UUUUUCAUAUACUAAUGGCACAUGUACGUUUGUUUGUGUGGAAAGCCUUUCAACAGAUGAGCACAUCAGCACACAGGGGGCAACAAGCGCACGGUAACACAGGAGCGCGGCUACAUA